GCCUCUGCUGUGGCGCCCGCCGGCGUGGUUGCCGGGGACGCGCGGGAUGGGGCCCGGCCCUGCAGGCCGCAAAGCGGGUCGGGGAGGCGCUUUCCCGGGGACCUUCUGAUCCCGGGAGACUGAACGUAAGCAUGCGAGGAGGUGCAGUAGUGUGAGAGGCUGACCAGAAGACCACUUGGGCCAGCGUUCCUGGGGAAGACUUCACGGCUAGAAGGAAUUCUAGGUAGUCACAGAAGAACACUAGAUGACCUAGAGCUCUAGGAUGGAACGAGCAUGGAAGCAAAAGCCAGCAACGAAAGAAGGAACUGCUAGAAAUGUAAGAUUCAUCCUGGUCAGUAGUUGGACAAAAGACGAGGAUCUAGUAUGUAAGAUCUAGAACCUAAGAAGCCUUGAAUGAAAGCCAGGAUGACACUCUUAUUUUCCAUCACCCAAAGUUUGAUUAGAGACUAGUUUGGAGGUGAGAUGCAAGACAGAUUUCCCAGAAAGUUCCAGCUGAGAAAGUGUCCUGCAUGAGCAGCAGCCAGCAAGGAAUGAAGCCUCCUGCCAAUAGUCAUGUGUAUGAACCAUCCCGAGGACAGAUCUUCCAGUCCCAGUCAAAUCUUCCAGUGCCUGCAUACCCAGAACCAGAACUGCCCAGCAAAGCCACUCCCAAGUUGUCGACCCAUAGAAACUGUGUGAGAUGAUCAGUGUUUAUUUCUUUAAGCUGUUAGGUUGGGGGGAUGAUCUGUUGUGCAGAAAUAGACAACGAAGACAUUCCCUCACAUAAAA